UACGGGGGGGGCAAGCGUUGUUCGGAAUUACUGGGCGUAAAGGGCGCGUAGGCGGCCUACUAAGUCGGACGUGAAAUCCCUCGGCUCAACCGAGGAACUGCGUCCGAUACUGGCAGGCUGGAAUCCGGGAGAGGGAUGUGGAAUUCCAGGUGUGAGCGGUGAAAUGCGUAGAUAUCUGGAGGAACACCGGUGGCGAAGGCGGCAUCCUGGACCGGUAUUGACGCUGAGGCGCGAAAGCUAGGGGAGCAAACGGG
rnacentral:rRNA from 1 species